UGUGUAGGCGGUUGUUUAAGUUUGGUGUGAAAUCUCCCGGCUCAACUGGGAGGGUGCGCCGAAUACUGAAUAACUUGGAGUGCGGGAGAGGAAAGUGGAAUUCCUGGUGUAGCGGUGAAAUGCGUAGAUAUCAGGAGGAACACCGGUGGUGUAGACGGCUUUCUGGACCGUAACUGACGCUGAGACACGAAAGCGUGGGUAGAAACA
rnacentral:rRNA from 1 species